rnacentral:rRNA from 1 species
GGACCAAAUCCCCAGC